rnacentral:misc_RNA from 1 species
GUUUGCAACCUCGAUGCAUAGUGCCCUGUUCUUUACUCCCUGUUUCCUUUAUGGGUUCUUCUUCUUUCUUGCAAAACCACCGAAAAGAUUUGUGUAUAGUUAAAGAUUUGAGGUGCUGGAAAGGAGGAAGACUUGGUGGAAAGAAGGGAGGAGGGAUUGUGUGUGCUGCGUCGUUGCUACCGGUUGAUCCAUGGGCNAUUGAUUCACAGAGCAUUGCUUCUCAGCUCUUUGCGUUUUCUUUGUUUCCUUACACUGGCG